rnacentral:rRNA from 1 species
UACGGAGGGGGCUAGCGUUGUUCGGAAUCACUGGGCGUAAAGCGCACGUAGGCGGAUGUGCCAGUCAGGGGUGAAAUCCCGGAGCUCAACUUCGGAACUGCCUCUGAUACAGCACGUCUUGAGUCCGGAAGAGGUGGGUGGAAUUCCUAGUGUAGAGGUGAAAUUCGUAGAUAUUAGGAAGAACACCGGUGGCGAAGGCGGCCCACUGGCUCGAUACUGACGCUGAGGUGCGAAAGCGUGGGGAGCAAACAGG